rnacentral:rRNA from 1 species
GCUGGCGGCGUGCCUAACACAUGCAAGUCGAGCGAGAAAGUGGAGCAAUCCAUGAGUAAAGCGGCGACCGGGUGAGUAACACGUGACUAACCUACCUUCGAGUGGGGAAUAACUCCGGGAAACCGGGGCUAAUACCGCAUAACAUCGCAAGAUCAAAGCAGCAAUGCGCUUGAAGAGGGGGUCGCGGCUGAUUAGCUAGUUGGCGGGGUAACGGCCCACCAAGGCGAAGAUCGGUAUCCGGCCUGAGAGGGCGCACGGACACACUGGAACUGAAACACGGUCCAGACUCCUACGGGAGGCAGCAGUGGGGAAUUUUGCGCAAUGGGGGAAACCCUGACGCAGCAACGCCGCGUGGAGGAUGAAGCCCCUUGGGGCGUAAACUCCUUUCGACCAAGACGAUAAUGACGGUACUGGUGGAAGAAGCACCGGCUAACUCUGUGCCAGCAGCCGCGGUAAUACAGAGGGUGCGAGCGUUGUUCGGAAUUAUUGGGCGUAAAGGGCGCGUAGGCGGUGCCACAAGUCACUUGUGAAAUCCCCGGGCUUAACUCGGGGCCUGCAGGCGAAACUGUGGUGCUGGAGUGUGGGAGAGGUGCGUGGAAUUCCCGGUGUAGCGGUGAAAUGCGUAGAUAUCGGGAG